UUGACCCGACGCUCAACUCGGUCUGGUUGGACCAACUCGCACACACCACUUCCAUCUCGAGUCUGGACGAAGACACGGCGCGGCGGAGCCACGGACUACUCACCGGACUCGAGGCGGCCGGGCGGACCGGCGAGCGCUCCCGCUGCAGGGAGGGCGCGACAGCGGGAUCCGCCGCGCCGUCGCGAGCGACUGCUGGAGCGAAGAGGGGACAGGUCAAUCCGCAGGUUCCCACAGAUGCAAAUUCCUCAAGGCAUUAGAAAUUGGAUGCAAGGCAGCAUUGUACUCUCCCAUGGUCUUGACACAGAUUCUGCAGAUGUAGGAAGACACCACUGCUUUGCUUCAUGGUUGUUUCACUUUUAGGUGUUCUUAGGUAGGAAAAACAUGCCAGUACGGAUAUGCGAUGUUUGUUAGACAACAGUGACAAUAGUGCCGUCGCUGUCUGUCAGGGAACAAAUGCCAAGAGGUGCACUGGAAACAAGAAAGCUGAAAACCAAUUGCUUGUUCAA